UACGUAGGGUCCGAGCGUUGUCCGGAAUUACUGGGCGUAAAGCGCGCGCAGGCGGCCCGCGAGGUGUCACGUGAAAGCCCCGGGCUCAACCCGGGAGGGUCGUGGCAAGCCGGCGGACUUGAGGCCGGUAGAGGUGGGUGGAACUCCUGGUGGAGCGGUGAAAUGCGUUGAGAUCGUGAGGAACGCCCGUGGCGAAAGCGGGCUCCUGGGCCCCGCCUGACGCUGAGACGCGAAAGCCAGGGGAGCGAACGGG
rnacentral:rRNA from 1 species